rnacentral:rRNA from 1 species
UCGGAAUUUUGGGCAAUGGGCGCAAGCCUGAUCCAGCCAUGCCGCGUGGAUGAUGAAGGCCUUAGGGUUGUAAAAUCCUUUCGUGGGGGACGAUAAUGACGGUACCCCAAGAAGAAGCUCCGGCUAACUUCGUGCCAGCAGCCGCGGUAAUACGUAGGGUGCAGGCGUUAAUCGGAAUUACUGGGCGUAAAGCGUGCGCAGGCGGUUUGUUAAGACAGAUGUGAAAUCCCCGGGCUUAACCUGGGAACUGCGUUUGUAACUGGCAGACUGGAGUGUGGCAGAGGGGGGUGGAAUUCCAAGUGUAGCAGUGAAAUGCGUAGAUAUUUGGAGGAACACCGAUGGCGAAGGCAGCCCCCUGGGCUAACACUGACGCUCAUGCACGAAAGCGUGGGGAGCAAACAGGAUUAGAUACCCCUGUAGUCCCUGAGCGGGCUGGCAAGGCG